rnacentral:lncRNA from 1 species
CCAGCCACUUGCCCAAGUGCAUCACAUUCCCCAGCCCCACCUUACCCCGAUUUCCUUGUCCCAUCUCACUCACUCAAUUAUCCCUGGCCACCCUGCCACCUUUCUUGCUAGCCACCCUAUCCAUAUAAUCCCUGCUUCAGCCAUCCAUCCUGGGCCCUUCACCUUUCACCCCGUCCCACACGCUGCCCUCUACCCUACCCUGCUCGCGCCACGGCCUGCUGCAGCAGCUGCCACUGCCCUCCAUCUUCACCCACUACUUCACCCCAUCUUCUCAGGUCAGGACCUGCAGCACCCUCCCAGCCAUGGGACUUGAGCUGGGAGUCGGAAGCCUAUGUUGAGCCAGGGAAGGUGACCUAUUCUUCCCUUGGGGGUGUAGAGCCAUUUAUACCAGCAAGUAAAAGCUGGAACAGGCAGUGUCUUGACAGCCAAAGAAAUGAGUUUUGGCUUGCAGGGAUGGAUUUAGAUUUGAGGUUUGCUUUGGGUUUACUAUCAGGGAUAUUUCCCCCCCUAUCCAACCCCCCCUCCCUCCCGUGUUUCUAAGCUAGGGAACACCAGUAAGAGCUGCCCACAGCCCUCUGCAGCAGUCUCCAGACUGUCAGUAAUCCUCCUCCUCUACUUUCUGAUCCUCUGCACUUCCCCUCUGUGAGUUCCGAACAUUUCCCUCCUCUAAAGGGUUGUCACCAAAGCACUUGCCAUGGGCCCAUCUGGUCCUGCCUUCUCAGUGCCACGAGGAAGGCCGGACUGUCUCUCCAGUGGUGAAAACUCCACUUUUCGGCAGUGUCUUUGACUAUCCUUAGUGACACGUUAUCCCAGGUGAGGUGGAGGAGGGGGUCUAACCUAGAACCAAAAGCAACUCAGGCUGCGAUCGACCCCUUCCUUACAGACAGCCAUGCAUUUGGCACUACUGUCCUCCUGCCCCUCACCCAGAAGGGGCAUCUACAUAUCCCAGAAAAGAAGAUCCUAGCGUGAGUAGAAGCUAUGCUGAACAUAGGGUCACCCAUGUGCUUCCCAGAAAGGAGCUCGUGUCUGAAGGGUAUACUUUCUUCUGUUAUGUUGAUGUUUUCUUUUUAAUUUAUAGGAUUUUUUAAUGUAAAAUUGCACUGAACUCUAUAAACGUAAAUGCUGCUUUUUGUAGCUCAUAUUAAGAAGGUUCCGUAUUUGUAGUAUACUGCAAUAAUAUUUUUUACAUCAGCUCUUUAAGUGAUCCUUGUUCUGGUGGCUUUCUGUAAAUAUGUUUGCCCUAGUUGAAUUAAGAAACUUUAAAGGUUAUAAAAUAAAAAGAAAAAAUAAAGUAUUUGUUUUCUGCUAGAUGCAAAAAUGACUAAGCAUGUAUAUUUUAUCAAUCUCCUGUAUUUUUUAAAGUUAUGAACUAUAAAAAUGGUAACUUUUUUUGCUGGGACAUGUUAAUAAUUCGCAGUAGUGGUUCGUGCUGGGUUCUUGAGUUGUCGAGCAACAGGCAGCAGCCAGUGUCAGGAGGACGCUCAGUCACGGUGGUCUCCCUGGUGUGCUUUGUUAGACAGUGGACUCCACAGAGUCCGGAGGGGAGGAUUGGUUCAACAGCUUUAUUCUCUGGAAGCAGUGACACUCGGUGACUGUCUAGGAAGAGGGACUCUUGGGUUUCCCUGGGUACUUUGUUCCGGACAGUCUUACUUGCCUUCCUAGUAUUUAGCCCCCUCUGACAAUUUUUUAAAUGUGCCUUUUGGGUUGGCUAGAAACUAAAAUAGAAGUAGACCAGAGGAUAAUAGGGUUGGGACAGUCUUCUCCUCUUCGUUGGGAGGUGAGUAGUUCAAGAUUUUUGGCUUUGCAGUUCUAUGCCAUCUGUCCAGCUCGAUUUCAAUUUCAGCAGUAGAGGCUCCUUUUUUCUUUUCUCCCUUGACACUGACCAGAAGUCCAUCCAUCCCUCUCCCCUUUGGCCUUCCCCAGGCUCUCAGCCCUCCUUAACACAGACCCAAAGGUGCUUGUAAUGCAGGUCUCAUCUCCUUUAUUAGUACUCUUAGGACUAGAACUGGCUAAGCAGUCAACUGACAUCGCCCUGCUUGCCUAAGCUAAGCUUCGCUCUCCCUGCCUCUCAAAUCCCCAACGGAAUGGGCUUUGUAAAGGAGCAGUUGCUGGGCAAAUGAGGCACUUACUUGGCUGAGCCCCUCCUUCCUUCUCAGUGUCCCUGUCGGUUUACAAGUCUCACUUUUUGGAUAACUAGCCCUGGAAAGAUGGCAUCUAUUUGAAGUGAAGGGACUGGUUCUUCUUGCUUUCAGCUCGUGUAAAUAUUUAAAUAAAACAGUGUUAACAUUUUGUGCUGCUUCCCUUAGGUUGUAGACAUCGAGCCAUGCUCUGGCCACCUCUGCCUUCCUGGGGGCAGUUUUCUUUAACUUCCAGAAUAGUGAUUUUAAAACUUCCAAAAAAAAAAAGAAAAAAAGAAAAAAAGGAAAAACAAAAUAACCUGUCCUUACGUACAAGCAUAACAGAUUGUAUUUGACUUUAUCACACAUGAUAGAGAGAUAUAUGCUGUAAAGUGAAGGAGAGGAACUUUCUAAUAAACCAACACUUUGGAAACUUA